rnacentral:rRNA from 1 species
GGCUCACCAAGGCAACGAUGCGUAGCCGACCUGAGAGGGUGAUCGGCCACACUGGGACUGAGACACGGCCCAGACUCCUACGGGAGGCAGCAGUAGGGAAUCUUCCGCAAUGGACGAAAGUCUGACGGAGCAACGCCGCGUGAGUGAUGAAGGUUUUCGGAUCGUAAAGCUCUGUUGUUAGGGAAGAACAAGUGCCGUUCAAAUAGGGCGGCACCUUGACGGUACCUAACCAGAAAGCCACGGCUAACUACGUGCCAGCAGCCGCGGUAAUACGUAGGUGGCAAGCGUUGUCCGGAAUUAUUGGGCGUAAAGGGCUCGCAGGCGGUUUCUUAAGUCUGAUGUGAAAGCCCCCGGCUCAACCGGGGAGGGUCAUUGGAAACUGGGGAACUUGAGUGCAGAAGAGGAGAGUGGAAUUCCACGUGUAGCGGUGAAAUGCGUAGAGAUGUGGAGGAACACCAGUGGCGAAGGCGACUCUCUGGUCUGUAACUGACGCUGAGGAGCGAAAGCGUGGGGAGCGAACAGGAUUAGAUACCCUGGUAGUCCACGCCGUAAACGAUGAGUGCUAAGUGUUAGGGGGUUUCCGCCCCUUAGUGCUGCAGCUAACGCAUUAAGCACUCCGCC